rnacentral:misc_RNA from 1 species
GAUGAAGAACGCAGUGAAAUGCGAUAAGUAGUGUGAAUUGCAGAAUUCAGUGAAUCAUCGAAUCUUUGAACGCACCUUGCGCUCCUUGGUAUUCCGAGGAGCAUGCCUGUUUGAGUGUCAUUAAUAUAUCAACCUCUUCAGCUUAUGCUUGUUGAGUGUUGGAUGGUGGGGGUUUGCUGGUGUCUUAUGAAGUCAGCUCCUCUGAAAUGCAUUAGCGGAACAAUUUGUUGACCGUUCAUUGGUGUGAUAAAAAUAUCUACGCUAUUGACGUCAGUCAGUUCAGCUUCUAACAGUCCAUUGACUUGGACAAAUUUUUCAUUAAUGUGACCUCAAAUCAGGUAGGACUACCCGCUGAACUUAAGCAUAUCAAUAAGCGGAGGA